GAUGAACGCUGGCGGCGUGCCUAACACAUGCAAGUCGAACGGAAUUUACAUGAAGCCUAGCGAUUGUAAAUUUAGUGGCGGACGGGUGAGUAACGCGUGGGUAACCUGCCUUGUACUGGGGGACAACAGUUGGAAACGACUGCUAAUACCGCAUAAGCGCACAGCUUCGCAUGAAGCAGUGUGAAAAACUCCGGUGGUACAAGAUGGACCCGCGUCUGAUUAGCUGGUUGGUGAGGUAACGGCCCACCAAGGCGACGAUCAGUAGCCGGCCUGAGAGGGUGAACGGCCACAUUGGGACUGAGACACGGCCCAAACUCCUACGGGAGGCAGCAGUGGGGAAUAUUGCACAAUGGGGGAAACCCUGAUGCAGCAACGCCGCGUGAGUGAAGAAGUAUUUCGGUAUGUAAAGCUCUAUCAGCAGGAAAGAAAAUGACGGUACCUGACUAAGAAGCCCCGGCUAACUACGUA
rnacentral:rRNA from 1 species